rnacentral:rRNA from 1 species
GCAUAUCAAUAAGCGGAGGAAAAGAAACCAACAGGGAUUGCCUUAGUAACGGCGAGUGAAGCGGCAACAGCUCAAAUUUGAAAGCUGGCCCUUUUAGGGUCCGCGUUGUAAUUUGUAGAGGAUGAUUCGGCGAGGGCUCCUGCCUAAGUCCCCUGGAACGGGGCGUCAUAGAGGGUGAGAAUCCCGUAUGCGGUAGGUUGCCUUAGCCAUGUGAAUCUCCUUCGACGAGUCGAGUUGUUUGGGAAUGCAGCUCUAAAUGGGAGGUAAAUUUCUUCUAAAGCUAAAUACUGGCCAGAGACCGAUAGCGCACAAGUAGAGUGAUCGAAAGAUGAAAAGCACUUUGGAAAGAGAGUUAAAAAGUACGUGAAAUUGUUGAAAGGGAAGCGCUUGCAACCAGACUUGUCCGCAGUUGCUCAGCCGGUCUCCUGACCGGCGUACUCUUCUGCGGCCAGGCCAGCAUCAGUUCGGGCGGUCGGAUAAAGGCCUCGGGAAUGUAGCUCCUCUCGGGGAGUGUUAUAGCCCGGGGUGGAAUGCGACC